AUUGAACGCUGGCGGCAGGCCUAACACAUGCAAGUCGAACGAGUGGCGGACGGGUGAGUAAUGUCUGGGAAACUGCCCGAUGGAGGGGGAUAACUACUGGAAACGGUUGCUCAUACCGCAUACCAUCGGAUGUGCCCAGUUUGGAUUAGCUAGUAGGUGGGGUAACGGCUCACCUAGGCGGCGAUCCCUAGCUGGUCUGAGGGGAUGAUCAGCCACGCUGGAACUGAGACACGGUCCAGAUUCCGACGGGAGGCAGCAGUGGGGAAUAUUGCACAAUGGGCGCAAGCCUGAUGCAGCCAUGCCGCGUGUAUGAAGAAGGCCUUCGGGUUGUAAAGUACUUUCAGCGAGGAGGCGUUACUCGCAGAAGAAGCACCGGCUAACUCCGUGCCAGCAGCCGCGGUAAUAA
rnacentral:rRNA from 1 species